rnacentral:rRNA from 1 species
ACGGAAGGCAGCAGUGGGGAAUAUUGCACAAUGGGGGAAACCCUGAUGCAGCGACGCCGCGUGAGUGAAGAAGUAUUUCGGUAUGUAAAGCUCUAUCAGCAAGGAAGAAAAUGACGGUACUUGACUAAGAAGCCCCGGCUAACUACGUGCCAGCAGCCGCGGUAAUACGUAGGGGGCAAGCGUUAUCCGGAUUUACUGGGUGUAAAGGGAGCGUAGACGGUGAGGCAAGUCUGAAGUGAAAUGCGGAGGCUCAACCUCCGAACUGCUUUGGAAACUGUCUAACUUGAGUGCAGGAGAGGUAAGUGGAAUUCCUAGUGUAGCGGUGAAAUGCGUAGAUAUUAGGAGGAACACCAGUGACGAAGGCGGCUUACUGGACUGUAACUGACGUUGAGGCUCGAAAGCGUGGGGAGCAAACAGGAUUAGAUACCCUGGUA